UCAAUCACCACCCAUCAUCAU
ensembl:piRNA 21ur-430 ncRNA